rnacentral:lncRNA from 1 species
CCUCGAGAAAGCGAAAUGCGAUGAAAAGUUUAGAAACUUAUGGGGUUGAUGGCCCUUCUUUAGGUCAGUUUUGGCACAAAUAUCCUCGUAAUUUAAACACAAUUUUAAAUAUAUAUCUGAUCAAUAAAUUUAAGGUUGUUUGUAUUAUCUAUGAUUAGUUAUUUCAUUUGUGUAAGUGGUUGGUCAACAUGAAUGAAGUUAUAGUACUUACCGAAAACACUUUAAUUCUUUUCAAAUAGAGCAAGUUUAGAUAAAAUAUAGAUGUGCUAACACAAAUACUAGCAAUUUUUUACAUUAUUUUUAUGCUCGAUUGCUUGUUUAUGAGGGUAUGGUAACAUAAAUUGAAAGGACCAGGCCCAAACAAGUUAGAUAUGUUGUUAUGACUAUACCCAUUUUUGCAUGUAUCACUCCUGUCUAGAUGCUUUUAAUAAUGGUGCAGUUCCUACUAUAUGAUUAUAAACCUCAUGGCAGGUUAGCUUUAUUUUAUUUUACUUCCAUUUUUGUGUUAUAAGCUGGAUGAAGGCCUCUGUUAUCUUUAUUUACAGAGUGUUAAAGGAGCAGAGUGUGAAAGG